GACGAACGCUGGCGGCGUGCCUAAUACAUGCAAGUCGAGCGAACUUGCGGGAGCUUGCUCCCAAAUGUUAGCGGCGGACGGGUGAGUAACACGUGGGCAACCUGCCUAUAAGACUGGGAUAACUUCGGGAAACCGGAGCUAAUACCGGAUAAUUCUUUUCUACUCAUGUAGGAAAGCUGAAAGAUGGUUUCGGCUAUCACUUAUAGAUGGGCCCGCGGCGCAUUAGCUAGUUGGUGAGGUAACGGCUCACCAAGGCGACGAUGCGUAGCCGACCUGAGAGGGUGAUCGGCCACACUGGGACUGAGACACGGCCCAGACUCCUACGGGAGGCAGCAGUAGGGAAUCUUCCGCAAUGGACGAAAGUCUGACGGAGCAACGCCGCGUGAGUGAUGAAGGUUUUCGGAUCGUAAAACUCUGUUGUUAGGGAAGAACAAGUACUAGAGUAACUGCUAGUACCUUGACGGUACCUAACCAGAAAGCCACGGCUAACUACGUGCCAGCCGCCGCCGUAAGAC
rnacentral:rRNA from 1 species